rnacentral:rRNA from 1 species
UGCAAGUCGAACGGCAGCACGGACUUCGGUCUGGUGGCGAGUGGCGAACGGGUGAGUAAUGUAUCGGAACGUGCCUAGUAGCGGGGGAUAACUACGCGAAAGCGUAGCUAAUACCGCAUACGCCCUACGGGGGAAAGCAGGGGAUCGUAAGACCUUGCACUAUUAGAGCGGCCGAUAUCGGAUUAGCUAGUUGGUGGGGUAAUGGCUCACCAAGGCGACGAUCCGUAGCUGGUUUGAGAGGACGACCAGCCACACUGGGACUGAGACACGGCCCAGACUCCUACGGGAGGCAGCAGUGGGGAAUUUUGGACAAUGGGGGAAACCCUGAUCCAGCCAUCCCGCGUGUGCGAUGAAGGCCUUCGGGUUGUAAAGCACUUUUGGCAGGAAAGAAACGGCGCGUGAUAAUACCAUGCGCAACUGACGGUACCUGCAGAAUAAGCACCGGCUAACUACGUGCCAGCAGCCGCGGUAAUACGUAGGGUGCAAGCGUUAAUCGGAAUUACUGGGCGUAAAGCGUGCGCAGGCGGUUCGGAAAGAAAGAUGUGAAAUCCCAGGGCUCAACCUUGGAACUGCAUUUUUAACUACCGGACUAGAG